rnacentral:lncRNA from 1 species
CAGUUGAAUGGUUUGAACUUUAUGACUAUGUCAUAGAGUUACACCUCUUAAUUCGAAAGAAAUAAGAAUGAAAAAUCCUUAUGACUACAUUGAGUGUAUAUAUGAUAUAUACUCAAGGAAAUGGUAAAAUACCAUUUGACCCGAAAUAAUGAAACCUUCAUAAGCUAAUUGGUAGCUUAAGGUAUCUACAAUAAAAAGGAUGGUUGACUUUGAAGAAACCAUUUUGACGUAGUCUUGGUUUCAAUUAAUUCGAAGAUAGCUAGCUACAACUAAAUGGUGAUUCAAUGUUUGGACAUAAUAUGGGUUUCCGAAACCAUUAUUAAGAUAGUCUUGAUAAUAUAUGUCUAAAACUAUGAAUCAUAAGACAUGUAAGUUGUAGAGAUCCAUCCAUCAUGAAUCUUAGCAAGCUAGUGGGAGCUAUAUGCAUCUUAUGAGAGAAAGGUCAAAUUGUUUGAUUUCUCAUAAAGAUGUAAAUGAAUCUUUUGUUUACUAAGUUUACAAAAGAUUAGUGGGAGUUAAUCAUAUUCCUAAAUUUAAAUAUAUAUGAUAUAUUAAUUUUGGAAAUGAAAAGAAUACUUCUUCAUUAAAGUUAUAACUUUAAAACAUUAUAUGAAGAUAGAAGAAUGUAUAUGGGAGUUAAUCAUGUUCCUAAAAUUUAAAUAUAUAUGAUAUAUUAAUUUUAGAAAUGAAAAGAAUACUUCUUCGUUAAAGUUAUGACUUUAAAACAUUAUAUGAAGAUAGAAUGUAUAUGGGAGACAUAGUUUAUAUACAUGGGAUGGAAAUCUAUAUUGAUAGAUUUUAGGAUAUAAUUAGAUUAUAUCAAGCCCUAAAUAUAGACAAAAGAUGAUAGGAAGUUUCUCAUAUGAUGAUGACUUCAAUUAGAAGGACAGCUCUAGUGAGACUAAGAAGUUGCUCUUCUCAAAGAGAACGUACUCUUUGACUCCCAAAUAAAUAAUGCGUAAAUAGAAUCCUUUAUGCAUACGCAUAAAGGUGAUUUAUGUAUUUCAUAUUGUAUGAAAAA